rnacentral:sRNA from 1 species
UUCAGAGAGCUGGAAAGUUAAGUCCUGUAUUUACCCAGAGCACAUGCAGCACAUAGGCAAGCGGCUUCUCCCCAGCACCGCCGAGUCACAGUCCUGACCUGAAGGGACCUGACCAGCAGGGAUGGGAAGGCAGUUUUCUGUUCAUUAAUUCCUUAGGAGCU